GAUGAACGCUAGCGGCAGGCUUAAUACAUGCAAGUCGUGGGGCAGCAGGUCCCGAGAAAUCGGGAUGCUGGCGACCGGCAAACGGGUGCGUAACACGUACGCAACUUUCCUUUAAGCGGGGAAUAGCCCAGAGAAAUUUGGAUUAAUACCCCAUAAAAUUUUGAGAUGGCAUCAUCUUAUUAUUAAAGCUUCGGCACUUAAAGAUGGGCGUGCGGCUGAUUAGGUAGUUGGCGGGGUAACGGCCCACCAAGCCAGCGAUCAGUAGCUGAUGUGAGAGCAUGAUCAGCCACACGGGCACUGAGA
rnacentral:rRNA from 1 species